CGCGUAGGCGGCUUGGUCAGUCGGAUGUGAAAGCCCCGGGCUUAACCUGGGAAUUGCAUUCGAUACUGCCAAACUAGAGUGUAGUAGAGGGAAGCGGAAUUCCAGGUGUAGCGGUGAAAUGCGUAGAUAUCUGGAGGAACAUCAGUGGCGAAGGCGGCUUCCUGGACUAACACUGACGCUGAGGUGCGAAAGCGUGGGGAGCAAACA
rnacentral:rRNA from 1 species